rnacentral:rRNA from 1 species
GAUGAACGCUGGCGGCGUGCCUAAUACAUGCAAGUCGAGCGAACAGACGAGGAGCUUGCUCCUCUGACGUUAGCGGCGGACGGGUGAGUAACACGUGUAUAACCUACCUAUAAGACUGGGAUAACUUCGGGAAACCGGAGCUAAUACCGGAUAAUAUAUUGAACCGCAUGGUUCAAUAGUGAAAGACGGUUUUGCUGUCACUUAUAGAUGGAUCCGCGCCGCAUUAGCUAGUUGGUAAGGUAACGGCUUACCAAGGCAACGAUGCGUAGCCGACCUGAGGGGGUGAUCGGCCACACUGGAACUGAGACACGGUCCAGACUCCUACGGGAGGCCGCAGUAGGGAAUCUUCCGCAAUGGGCGAAGGCCUGACGCAGCAACGCCGCGUGAGUGAUGAAGGUCUUCGGAUCGUAAAACUCUGUUAUUAGGGAAGAACAAAUGUGUAAGUAACUAUGCACGUCUUGACGGUACCUAAUCAGAAAGCCACGGCUAACUACGUG